AGCGCACAUGGUGGAUGCCAUGGCGUCAGGAGGCGAAGAAGGACGUGCUAAUCUGCGAAAAGCUGGGGCGAGCCGAUAAGGGGCGCAAUAACCUCAGAUAUCCGAAUGGGGCAACCCGUCAUAGUAAUAUGACAUUAUAACAUAGGUUAUAAGGCGAACUAGGGGAAGUGAAACAUCUCAGUACCCUAAGGAAAAGAAAUCAAAAGAGAUUUCCUAAGUAGCGGCGAGCGAAAGGGAAGGAGCCCAAAAGUUUAUUAUGUAGUAGUGGAACACAUUGGGAAAUGUGAGGGUACAGGGUGAUACUCCCGUACACGACGUUGCAUAGUAGAUGAUACAAGAGUAGGGCGGGACACGUGGUAUCCUCUGAAUAUGGGGGGACCAUCCUCCAAGGCUAAAUACUACCUGACGACCGAUAGUGAACCAGUACCGUGAGGGAAAGGCGAAAAGAACCCAGGAGAUGGGAGUGAAAUAGAGCCUGAAACCGUGUGCGUACAAGCAGUGGGAGCAUGGAGCAAUCUGUGUGACUGCGUACCUUUUGUAUAAUGGGUCAGCGAGUUGUCUGUAUUAGCGAGGUUAACUUUGAUGAGGGAGCCGUAGGGAAACCGAGUCUUAAAAGGGCGAGAAGUUGAUACAGGCAGACCCGAAACUAGGUGAUCUAGUCCUGGACAGGCUGAAAGCAGGGUAACACCUGCCGGAGGGCCGAACCCACUAACGUUGCAAAGUUAGGGGAUGAUUUGGGACUAGGGGUGAAAGGCCAAUCAAACCUAGUGAUAGCUGGUUCUCCCCGAAAGCUAUUUAGGUAGCGUCCUGUGAGGACGGACGGGGGUAGAGCACUGUUACGGCAAGGGGCCCAUCCCGGGUUGCCAAACCGUUGCAAACUACGAAUACCGUCCAGUUGGAAGCAGGGGACACACGGUGGGUGCUAACGUUCAUCGUGAAGAGGGAAACAACCCGGACCGCCAGCUAAGAUCCCAAAGUUCUAGUUAAGUGGGAAACGAUGUGGGAAGGCAAAGACAGCCAGGAUGUUGGCUUAGAAGCAGCCAUCAUUUAAAGAAAGCGUAAUAGCUCACUGGUCGAGUCGGCCUGCGCGGAAGAUAUAACGGGGCUAAACUAGACAUCGAAGCUGCGGAUUUGCACAUAGUGCAAGUGGUAGGGGAGCGUUCUGUAAACCAAAGAAGAUGAGUUGUAAGGCGAGUUGGAGGUAACAGAAGUGCGAAUGCUGACGCAAGUAACGAUAAAACGAGUGAAAAACUCGUUCGCCGGAAGACCAAGGGUUCCUGUCCAACGUUAAUCGGGGCAGGGUGAGUCGGUGCCUAAGGCGAGGCUGAGAAGCGUAGUCGAAGGGAAACAGGUUAAUAUUCCUGUACCUAAUAUUAUUGCGAUGGGGUGACGGAGAAGGUUAGGUUAGCAGAAGAACGGUAGUUUCUGUGAAAGGCAGUAGGGAGCGUGAGGGAAAAAAGACUUACGUUAUGAACUGAGAGCUGAGACGAAGUAUCUACGGAUAUGAAGUAACUGAGACCAGGCUUCCAGGAAAAGCCUCUAAGCUCUAGAUAAUAUUAGGCCGUACCCCAAACCGACACAGGUGGUCGGGUAGAGGAUACCAAGGCGCUUGGGAGAACCCGGGUGAAGGAACUAGGCAAAAAUGUACCGUAACUUCGGGAGAAGGUACGCUGUGACAGGUGCAAUCAACACUGAUGAAGCUUGACACAGCCGCAGAUAAAUGGUGGCUGGGACUGUUUAACAAAAACACAGCACUCUGCGAACCUGAAAGGGGAAGUAUAGGGUGUGACACCUGCCCGGUGCCGGAAGGUUAAAUGAUGGGGUUAGACGCAAGUUGAAGCCCUUGAGUGAAGCCCCGGUAAACGGCGGCCGUAACUAUAACGGUCCUAAGGUAGCGAAAUUCCUUGUCGGGCAAGUUCCGACCUGCACGAAUGGUGUAACCAUGGCCACGCUGUCUCCACCCGGGACCCAGUGAAACCGAAAUCGCUGUGAAGAUGCAGUGUACCCGCGGCUAGACGGAAAGACCCCGUGAACCUUUACUGCAGCUUGACACUGAACCUUGAACCUGUUUGUGCAGGAUAGGCGGGAGACAUAGAAGUAGAAGCGCCAGCUUUUAUGGAGUCGACCUUGAAAUACCGCCCUGACAUGUUUGAGGUUCUAACUAAGUACAACACAUACGAGGACAGUGUCUGGUAGGCAGUUUGACUGGGGCGGUCUCCUCCCAAAGGGUAACGGAGGAGCACGAAGGUCAGCUGAUCACGGUCGGACAUCGUGAGGUCAGUGCAAUGGCAUAAGCUGGCUUGACUGCGAGAGCAACAACUCGAGCAGGUGCGAAAGCAGGUCAUAGUGAUCCGGUGGUUCCACAUGGACGGGCCAUCGCUCAACGGAUAAAAGGUACUCUGGGGAUAACAGGCUGAUACCGCCCAAGAGUUCAUAUCGACGGCGGUGUUUGGCACCUC
rnacentral:rRNA from 1 species